AGGCGGGGCCAUGGAGGAGGGGGCGGAACCAAGGCGCAAGAGGGUGGAGAGCGAACCUGAGAGCGCGUAGGGCGGCACUGGCGUGCGAGAGGCGGAGCCAUGGUUGUGGGGGCGUGGCCUGGCACAAAUGGGUGAACCAUCUCCUCUUCCCAGUAAACACAGAAGACAAGACAGAGAGGAGCACAGGAGGGAAGAAGAGCCCCUGGGGAAGAAGUCCAGUCUUUGCAGUUUCCCCCACUGUGGCAGAGGGGCCAUCCUCCUCCCUUGUUCCCCAGGAGGCUCCUGUUCAACUUUUCAGAACCAUCUCCUCUUCCCAGUAAACACAGAAGACAAGACAGAGAGGAGCACAGGAGGGAAGAAGAGUCCCUGGGGAAGAAGUCUUUCAGCUUCUUCCAUGCAGCAUGUCUUUCAUGCUGGUUCUUUCUGGCUGACCUGAAACACAGGUGCCUGCAGAGAAAGAUGAAGAACCUCCCCAUGGUCCCCUGCUAGCCCUGACUGUUUCCAUAGGGAAAGGCUGGGUCAUACCCCAGGGCAAAUUCUACUGAUCCUGCACCUGUCCAAGCUGCCCAGUGUGCAGUUAGUUUCCUCUGUAAGAGACACCCUGGAGGACGUUGGUUCCAUUUGGGGCUCCACCACUGCUGCUGGGGUAUGGGUGGAGGGGAAGGCCACAGGGCCUUGCUGGGGGGGCUGUGCAGCGGGUGUACAGGCUAGGGAGGGGACUGGCAGGCAGGCUAGCUGUGUUGGUGGCUUCCGCCCUGCCUCCUGAUCCUCCUCAGGCCUCUGAUUUCUUUGUUGCUCCUUUGACUAUUCACAACACAGAAAUUUAAAAUGGGAAUGGUAGGCUCACUAUACUUCUGCUGCUUUGAGUUGCCUGAGAUGCCAUGAUGCACUUUGUGGAUGGGGAAGGAGUGCAGCUAGUGGUGGCAUCAGCUGAAGGUGGGGAGGGAGGUUUUGGGACUGUGCUAUAGUCUCCAGCUUAGAUGUCUUGUAGCCUGGGAGCAGAUAGGUGGCCAGUACUUCAUUAUACUUCCGGUGCUGCAAGGAUCCUGAAUCCCUUUUCAAGUAUGACCUAUGGACACCAUCAAUUUAGUCUGCUCAGGGUCCUUAUAGCCAGAGAGUGGCUGGGCACUUGUUUUCCUCCUCAUGCUCUACAUUCAUUUCCUCCUCAUGCUCUACAUUCAUCUUUGGAUUCUAGGGGCCUCUCUUGCUUGUGUUGAGGAUGAGGAAUUUCCUUCUUUCAUUUUUUAAACACAGGAUUUCACCCAGGCUGGAGUACAGGAGGGUGAAGAAUUUCUUGAGAGAAAGUUUUCACACUCCAUAGACAUAUAAGAGUGUUACCGUAGGUAAAUACAAUGGAGAGUGAUUGCUGGAUCUUAUGGUAAGAGCAUGUUUUGUAAGAGUUUUGUGAGAAACUGCCAACUGUCUUCCAAAGUGGCUACACCAUUUUGCAUUUCCACCAGCAAUUAAUGAGAAUUUCUGUUACUCCACAUUUGGUGUUGUCAGUGUUUGCAAUUUUGGCCAUUCUAAUAAGUGUAAAGUGCUAUGUUAUUGUUGUUUUAAUUUGCAAUUCCCAGAUGACAUGUGAUGUGGGACAUCUUUUCAUACGCUUAGUUGCCUUUUGUAUAUCUUUUUCUGUUGAGGUGUCUGUUAAGGUAGUUUGCCCAUUUUCAAUCCGUUGUGCAUUUUCUUUUUGUUAAGUUUUAAGAGUUGUGGCCGGGCGCGGUGGCUCAAGCCUGUAAUCCCAGCACUUUGGGAGGCCGAGACGGGCGGAUCACGAGGUCGGGAGAUCGAGACCAUCCUGGCGAACACGGUGAAACCCCGUCUCUACUAAAAAAAUACAAAAAACUAGCCGGGCGAGGUGGCGGGCGCCUGUAGUCCCAGCUACUCGGGAGGCUGAGGCAGGAGAAUGGCGGGAACCCGGGAGGCGGAGCUUGCAGUGAGCUGAGAUCCGGCCACUGCACUCCAGCCUGGGAGACAGAGCGAGACUCCGUCUCAAAAAAAAUAAAAAUAAAAAAAAAUAAGAGUUGUUGGUAUAUUUGGAAUAACAGUCCUUCAUGAGGUAUCUCUUUUGUACAUUGUUUCUUCCUAUGUCUUAUCUCUCAUUCUCUGAUCAGUGUCAUUUGCUAACCAACAGUUUUUAGUUUGAAUAAAGUCCAGCUUAUCAAUGCUUUCUUUCAUGGAUUGUGCCUUUUGAGUCAUAUCUGAAAAGUCUUUGCCAAACCCAAACUAGAUUUUCUCCUGUGCUAUCUUUUAAGAGUUUUAUAGUUUUAUGUUUUAUAUUUUGGCCUAUGAGCUAUGAUCUAUUUUGAGUUUUUUAUGAAAGGUGUCAGUUUUGUGUGGAAGUUCUUUUUUUUUUUUUUUGGAUGUUCAGUUGUUCCAGCAUGAUUUGCUAAAAGACAGUCUUUUCUCCAUUGUAUUGUCCUUGAUCUUUUGUCAAGGAUCAGUUGACUAUAUUUAUGUGGAUCUAUUUCUGGGCUCUCUAUUCAGUUCUACUGACCUAUUUGUCUAUUCUUAUGACAAUACCACACUCCCUUGAUUACUGUAGCUUUAUAGUAGGUCAUGAAGUCAGACAGUAUAGUCCUCCAACUUUUCUUUUUCUUCAAUAUUAAGUUGGCUACUCUGUCUUUUGCCUUUCCGUGUAAACAUUAAAAGCAGUUCAUUGAUAUCUACGAAAUAACUUGCUGGAAUUUUAAUUGGGAUUGUGUUGAAUCUAUAGAUAAAGUUUAGAAGAACUGGACAAUACUGAGUCUUUCUAUUCAUGAACAUGGAAUGUCUCUCCAUUUAUUUAGUUCCUUUUUUAUUUCUUUUAUCAGAGUUUUCUUUUUUCCUCAUGUAGAUCUUGUAUGUAUAUUGUUAGAUUUAUACCUAAGUAUUUCAUUUUGAGGAAUGCUAAUGUAACUGGUAUUGUGUUUUAAAUUUCACAUUUCACUUGUUCAUUGCUGGCAUGUAGGAAAGGGAUUGAGCUUUGUAUAUUAACCUCGUGUCUUAUAACUUUGCUUUAAUUGCUUAGAAGUUCAAGGACAUUUUCUUGUCAAUUGUUUUAGAUUUUCUAUAUAGGAGUUGUGUCAUCUGGGAACAAAGUUUUUAUAUCUUCCCUCCAAAUCUGUA